UUGUGUGCUUGUCUUUUUUUAAUGUUUGCUGUUAAUAAAAUAUUUUUACAGAGACCAAAAAGUCAGAAUAGUGCAAAACAUCUCAACACCAUGCAUUCAUGACCACUUCUCGUUAGUUUUAAACAUUUGUUCCAAGUCACAUAUUUACAGAGAAAUGGGGCAUCUGUGCAGACGCCGGACCGACGGGAUGGAAUUAAAACGAACAGCGUUGGAGUUCACAGUUGCAAUCACAUGCUAAGAGGUGUGUGGGGAAGCACCUCCCUGGACUGUGCGCCGGCUUUGGGGUCUCGGGGGGGGGGGGGGGGGGGGGACGGGUCUAGGGCCAGGGGUGGGGUCCGCGUCCCCCUGGCGGUGUGGCCGGGGAUGCACAGGGGACCCUCCACCUGUGGCCUGUGCCUCGAGAGAGCCACUGUGGCUGGGCGGGGGCGGGAGAUGGGAGGUCUUACUUGACACCGUCAACUUGAUUUCUCUCUUUAAGAAAAUAAAAGGCAAAGAGAAAAGCAACACGUGUCAGCGAAGACGACUUUGGUCCUUGACAAUUCCUGGGAAAGGGGGUGCAGGGGGCAGAUGGGGUCGUGAUGUGGACCAAGCCCCGGGGGCUCCCUCCCUCUCCACCCGGGCAGCAGAGUUGGAGGUGCCUCCGGGCUGUCCCCACUCUGCUCCGCCCCUCAGUGUCCCCAUCUGCUAAAUGGACAGCAUGGGAUGGGGACAGAAAGGCUCUGAGGUCCCAGCAGAGAGAGGUCCCAAGGAUUUCUCGUUGGGUGUGAAGUUUUUUGCAUCUCUGAUGGGGGCACGGUGAGGUUCCAGGCUCUGGGGCCCGAUGGUCCGAGGGCUGCGGGCACGGUGGACACUCAUCUUUUUAGGUAAACCCUCCGAGGCGGGCCUGGUGAGAGCCAGAGAGCAGCAGUCCCUCUGCCUCCUCCUCAGCGCUGCUUCUCCUCUGCUCUCUGCCCCCAGCAGGGUGUGAGCUCCCCCUCUCGAUUUCUCGCCUUCUCUCUGUGUCCUUCCUCUGUGUCUCUGUCCAAGACGUCCCUAACGUCACCUCAUCCACCUCGUCCGGGGGCUGACCCAACUUCACCCCUCCCCUGACCCAAGGAAAUCUGGGGCCAGCUCCUCGUGUGCAACCCUGAGGCCCCACCGGAGAACCCCACGCACUGCAGGUGACGUGGUGAAAGCCCGGAGGUGUCGUCCGAGGCGUCCGCUUGCUGGGUGGCCUGAGGGAAAGCCUGCUCCUCUGGGCUCAGUUCCAGGACAGGAACUUCCUGAUUUCAAAUGCUUCCAGCCCCCGGGAUUCCUCUCCUGGCUCCUCCCGUCCUCUCUCAUCCUCUCUUACUCUGUGUCCUGUGGCUGAGCCACAGUCUGGCUUGAACACCUCCUGUGUGUCCAUGUCUGUGUGGGAAGGGAAGGUGGGCACAGACAGACAGGGACAGACACACAUGUGGAUGUGGACACACACAGACCCCCACCCAAGACAUAAUCCAAGCCUCCCAUCUCCCUGUGCCCAGCCUGAGCUGGGUGAACUUGGGGCUCUUGAGAGGCCUCAGACUCCCAUCUGGGGGGAAACAGCUUGUCACAGACCCCCCUGGCCCCAUGGCAUCAGGGACAGAAGGUGAGGACAGAGGCUUGGGAACAGACAGACAUAGGAAGAUGGAUAGAGGCUGGGGAAGUCCUGAGGGGGAGCAGAGAGGGUUUCCUACCGGAAGGGAUAUUUGUGGAUGAGUUUUGAGGGAUGAGUAGGAGUUCUCUGGGGAAAGAAGAGGGAAGAAAUUUCCAAAACAGUUCUAGCCUGGGAGUCAGAAAAAGUCAUUCAAAAAAUACUCCCUGAGGCUCCCUCUAUGUGCCUGGACCAGUGCUGGGGAACACUACACACACACACACACACACACGCACACACACACACGUGUGCGCACACAGGCCUUGACCAGAGACAUUGCCAAGGAAGCUUUUGGGAAAUACCUGGCAGCUCAGCGCCCCUUUUUCCUGCGAGUCAUUCAGAAAUCUGUGAGGGCCCACCCCAGAUCACAGGUCACCUCCCUCUGGGUGUUCUUGGUGUUCUCCACCCCAAGUCAUCCACCUCCGUCACUCCCACUCCCACCUCUUAGAUGGUUCAAAUUUCAAAUCUGCCUCUUGGUCCCCUUGGUGACAAACUCCAAGCCCCCCUCGCC
ensembl:lncRNA